rnacentral:rRNA from 1 species
UAACCUGCCCAAGAGAUCGGGAUAACACCUGGAAACAGAUGCUAAUACCGGAUAACAACACUAGACGCAUGUCUAGAGUUUAAAAGAUGGUUCUGCUAUCACUCUUGGAUGGACCUGCGGUGCAUUAGCUAGUUGGUAAGGCAACGGCUUACCAAGGCAAUGAUGCAUAGCCAAGUUGAGAGACUGAUCGGCCACAUUGGGACUGAGACACGGCCCAAACUCCUACGGGAGGCAGCAGCC